UGGUAUUUAUGAAGCGACAAAAAGCUUUAGGCUUUAUUGGGCCCAUGAAUUAGUAAAGCCCAUGAGACGAGAUUCUAGGGCUUCGCUGGUUAUAAAGGUGCAACUGAGCACUACACUAAAAGUCUCUCUCGCAUCUCCGCCUCUCUUUUCAAUCUGAAAUCUCAACAGCAACCCGAGGAGUGAAAGGUUUGAUCAUCUGCGAAACCCAGCAUGAGAGCUAAGUGGAAGAAGAAGCGUAUGAGGAGGUUGAAGAGGAAGAGACGAAAGAUGAGACAGCGAUCUAAGUAGUUUUUCGAGACCGACAUUUGUGAGAGUUUUGUUGGUUUUUCUAUCUGAAUUUCAAUGUUUUUUUUGUUGCUGGACCUAAUAGAUUCUAUGUUUCAAUCAGAACUAUGUUUUUAUUACAUGAAUGGUUUUUCUAUUUCUACAA